rnacentral:rRNA from 1 species
AUUGAACGCUGGCGGCAUGCUUUACACAUGCAAGUCGAACGGCAGCGCGGGCUUCGGCCUGGCGGCGAGUGGCGAACGGGUGAGUAAUACAUCGGAACGUGCCCAGUAGUGGGGGAUAGCUCGGCGAAAGCCGGAUUAAUACCGCAUACGACCUGAGGGUGAAAGCGGGGGAUCUUCGGACCCCGGGCUAUUGGAGGGGCCGAUGGCAGAUUAGCUAGUUGGUGGGGUAAAGGCCUACCAAGGCGACGAUCUGUAGCUGGUCUGAGAGGACGACCAGCCACACUGGGACUGAGACACGGCCCAGACUCCUACGGGAGGCAGCAGUGGGGAAUUUUGGACAAUGGGCGAAAGCCUGAUCCAGCAACGCCGCGUGUGUGAUGAAGGCCUUCGGGUUGUAAAGCACUUUUGGCGGGAACGAAAAGGACUGUGCCAAUACCACGGUUCGAUGACGGUACCCGCAGAAUAAGCACCGGCUAACUACGUG